GACGAACGCUGGCGGCGUGCUUAACACAUGCAAGUCGAGCGGUAAGGCCCUUUCGGGGGUACACGAGCGGCGAACGGGUGAGUAACACGUGGGUGACCUGCCCUCAGCUCUGGGAUAAGCCUGGGAAACCGGGUCUAAUACUGGAUAUGACUCCAUGACGCAUGUUGGUGGGGUGGAAAGCCUUGUGCGGCUGAGGAUGGGCCCGCGGCCUAUCAGCUUGUUGGUGGGGUGANGGCCUACCAAAGGCGACGACGGGUAGCCGGCCUGAGAGGGCGACCGGCCACACUGGGACUGAGACACGGCCCAGACUCCUACGGGAGGCAGCAGUGGGGAAUCUUGCGCAAUGGGCGAAAAGCCUGACGCAGCGACGCCGCGUGAGGGAUGAC
rnacentral:rRNA from 1 species